rnacentral:rRNA from 1 species
UACAGAGGUCCCAAGCGUUGUUCGGAUUCACUGGGCGUAAAGGGCGCGUAGGCGGCCCCUUCUUGUCGCGUGUGAAAGCCCCGGGCUCAACCUGGGAAUGGCGCGCGAGACGGGGGGGCUGGAGUUCGGGAGAGGAGCGUGGAAUUCCCAGUGUAGAGGUGAAAUUCGUAGAUAUUGGGAAGAACACCGGUGGCGAAGGCGGCGCUCUGGACCGAGACUGACGCUGAGGCGCGAAAGCGUGGGGAGCAAACAGG